rnacentral:rRNA from 1 species
CCUACGGGUGUCAGCAGUGAGGAAUAUUGGUCAAUGGGCGCAAGCCUGAACCAGCCAAGUCGCGUGAGGGAUGACGGUCCUAUGGAUUGUAAACCUCUUUUGUCGGGGAGCAAGGCCAGCCACGUGUGGCGGGAAGGAUAGUACCCGAAGAAAAAGCAUCGCCUAACUCCGUGCCAGCAGCCGCGGUAAGACGGAGGAUGCGAGCGUUAUCCGGAUUCAUUGGGUUUACGGGGGGCGUAGGCGGACGGUUAAGUAAGCGGUAAAAUGUCGGGGCUAAACACCGGCGUGCCAUUGAAACUGGUCUUCUUGAGUGAGCGAGAAGUAUGCGGAAUGCGUGGUGUAGCGGUGAAAUGCAUAGAUAUCACGCAGAACUCCGAGUGCGAAGGCAGCAUACCGGCGCUCAACUGACGCUGAGGCACGAAAGCGUGGGGAUCGAACAGGAUUAGAUACCCCAGUAGUC